rnacentral:rRNA from 1 species
CCUACGGGUGGCAGCAGUGGGGAUAUUGGAAAAUGGAGGAAAAUUUGAUGCAGCGACGGCGCGUGAGGGGAGACGGUCCUCGGAUUGUAAAACUCUGGCUUUGGGGGAGGAAAUGACGGUAACCAAAGAGGAAGCUCCGGCUAACUACGUGCCAGCAGGCGCGGUAAUACGUAGGGAGCGAGCGUUGUCCGGAAUUACUGGGUGGAAAGGGAGCGUAGGCGGGCGAGAAAGUUGAAUGUUAAAUCUACCGGCUUAACUGGUAGCUGCGUUCAAAACUUCUUGUCUUGAGUGAAGUAGAGGCAGGCGGAAUUCCUAGUGUAGCGGUGAAAUGCGUAGAUAUUAGGAGGAACACCAGUGGCGAAGGCGGCCUGCUGGGCUUUAACUGACGCUGAGGCUCGAAAGCGUGGGGAGCAAACAGGAUUAGAUACCUGUGUAGUC